rnacentral:rRNA from 1 species
UACGGAAGGGGGCUAGCGUUGCUCGGAAUCACUGGGCGUAAAGGGUGCGUAGGCGGGUCUUUUAAGUCAGGGGUGAAAUCCUGGAGCUCAACUCCAGAACUGCCUUUGAUACUGAAGAUCUUGAGUUCGGGAGAGGUGAGUGGAACUGCGAGUGUAGAGGUGAAAUUCGUAGAUAUUCGCAAGAACACCAGUGGCGAAGGCGGCUCACUGGCCCGAUACUGACGCUGAGGCACGAAAGCGUGGGGAGCAAACAGG